UACGUAGGGCGCAAGCGUUGUCCGGAAUUAUUGGGCGUAAAGAGCUCGUAGGCGGUCUGUCGCGUCUGCUGUGAAAUCUCAGGGCUUAACCCUGAGCUUGCAGUGGGUACGGGCAGACUAGAGUGCGGUAGGGGAGACUGGAAUUCCUGGUGUAGCGGUGGAAUGCGCAGAUAUCAGGAGGAACACCGAUGGCGAAGGCAGUUCUCUGGGCCUUACCUGACGCUGAGGCGCGAAAGCUAGGGGAGCGAACAGG
rnacentral:rRNA from 1 species